rnacentral:ncRNA from 2 species
AUAAAAAUCUUGGGGUGCUUUAAAAAGCUGAGAUUAUACCCAUAAACCUGAUACAGAUAAUGCUGGCGUAGGGAAGUAUUUUUUUUGUUUG